GGAUGCGAGGGAGAUCUGGGUUCAACAUCUGUCACUUCACUGAGCACCAGGGUUCAUUCAGCUGAUCUGGCUGGCUAGGCAGGUGUCGCUCUCCUCCCUCACCUUUACCUGUGUGUCACUUCUGAAGCUGCGCUCUUAGUGGAAGAGGACGACGAGCCCCAAUUGGGGAGAACCACUCCUUGGUCAAUGGUAUACAAAUGGCUGUAUUCCCCUGCUAGAACCUCCAACCAAGCUCUUAAGGAGAACAUGCACCUGGAAAUCAUCAAUAUAUGUGAGAUUUUUAAAAGUUGGCUUU
rnacentral:snRNA from 1 species